rnacentral:rRNA from 1 species
GACGAACGCUGGCGGCGUGCCUAAUACAUGCAAGUUGAGCGAUGAAGAUUGGUGCUUGCACCAAUUUGAAGAGCAGCGAACGGGUGAGUAACGCGUGGGGAAUCUGCCUUUGAGCGGGGGACAACAUUUGGAAACGAAUGCUAAUACCGCAUAACAACUUUAAACAUAAGUUUUAAGUUUGAAAGAUGCAAUUGCAUCACUCAAAGAUGAUCCCGCGUUGUAUUAGCUAGUUGGUGAGGUAAAGGCUCACCAAGGCGAUGAUACAUAGCCGACCUGAGAGGGUGAUCGGCCACAUUGGGACUGAGACACGGCCCAAACUCCUACGGGAGGCAGCAGUAGGGAAUCUUCGGAAAUGGACGAAAGUCUGGCCGAGCAACGCCGCGUGAGUGAAGAAGGUUUUCGGAUCGUAAAACUCUGUUGGUAGAGAAGAACGUUGGUGAGAGUGGAAAGCUCAUCAAGUGACGGUAACUACCCAGAAAGGGACGGCUAACUACGUG